CGUGACUCUGCUCUAGCGGGACACGUGUCUCCUCCCCCUUCUGGCGGAGUUCGGAGGGGGCGGGAGCUGUGGAAUGUCUUUGUCUUAGGCGCGAGCUCGCGGAGUGUGGGGCCGGAGACCUGUUACGUGCAGGGCCCUUCUCUCAAGACUUUGGCUAAUCUCCUGGUGUUUUGCUUUCACCUUGGAGUAGGAAUUUGGAGACCCGUGUUCCAAACCAAGCUUGGCUGCUGAUCCAUUCCUGUUUCUUCAGAAGCCAGGGAGAAACAUAAAAACUCAAAUGUGCCCUGAACCAGUCUCAACCCCUCAGUUAAGGAAUGCAGAAGGUAAGGAGUCACCAUGGUAACAACAGCGUCAGGUAUGUAGAGAAACUUCAGAACACCAGCAUUCCCAUCAGAGGCCCUGCUGCCGCUGAUCAUGAAACCCCGUCAUCACUUAAAUCACUCUAUUUUAAAGGCACUAGCACCAGUCUGAAGGUAGACAUUUGAGAACCAUUGACAUGGUUUACUGUCCUGUAUUCCUUGGAGAUGGUGUUGUGGCCUCUGUUUGGAUACCUGUGGCAGCUGGGGUGCUGACUACCUUACCUCUUUGGAUCAUGCAAGCUGGAUCAUGUUACCUUUUCUCAUCACCUCUCUCUUGCCUGCCCUUCUUCAGGCUGGUUAAUGUCCUUCCUAUGUGCUCCUGUAUCUCCCCUGCAGUUAUCACUUUUGGAGUACUUAUCUCAUGGUGUUGUAAUCGCCAGCUGACACAUCCCUCAACAGCAAGAUUGCCAGCUUCUUGAGGGCAAGGUCUCUAUCUGUUCACUGUUGUUGGAUUCUCAGGCCCGUCACAUGGCAGAAGCUCAUCAGUAAUUAUUGACUGAAGAAAUGAGCUUUUACCCACCAGACUAAUGAAGUAAUAAUCAUGAAAAUAACAUUUAUUUAAUAUUUACUGUACCGUCAGCACUUUAUGUGCUUUUUGAUCAGCAACAGGUUUUUAUGUCAAGGCAUUUGGAAUAAAAUGAAAAUGGUAAGCAUGUCGUUUUAAAAGGAACAGUCCCUCUUGGAAUUUAUCCCACAGAAUUCCCCUAAAAGGGUUCCAAGAUGUAUGUACAAAAAAGUCCAUUGCAGUAUUGCUUAUAAUAUCAAAAAAUUGGAAAUAAUCCAAACAGCUAUCACUAGGGAACCUGUUACAUAAAUUAUAAUUCAGCCAUACUAUGUAGGCAGUCUUUAAAUGAUUAAGGUAGAUCCAAAUGUACUGACAUGGAAAACUGUCCAAGCCAUUAUAGUUAAGAGAAACCAUUUCUGUUACACACACACGUGCAUGCAUAUAUGAAUACACAAAAAAACAUGACUGUACAGAGAAAAAUCUAGAGGAGCAAUAUAAUACAAGGUGUUGAUACCACUUCUUUAGGUAUGAUUGUGGGGGACUUUUACUUCAUUAAG